rnacentral:rRNA from 1 species
UACGUAGGGUGCGAGCGUUAAUCGGAAUUACUGGGCGUAAAGCGUGCGCAGGCGGUUCGUUGUGUCGGUGGUGAAAGCCCCGGGCUUAACCUGGGAAUGGCCAUGGAAACUGGCGAACUGGAGUGUGGCAGAGGGGGGUGGAAUUCCGCGUGUAGCAGUGAAAUGCGUAGAGAUGUGGAGGAACACCGAUGGCGAAGGCAGCCCCCUGGGCCAAUACUGACGCUCAUGCACGAAAGCGUGGGGAGCAAACAGG